AAACCGUUGAGCGUCUCACUUCAGGGCUCUUCCUGUUUGAGUUUCCUCCUCAGGCCCAGACGGAGCAGACGUCCCUGCAGGAUAAUACUCGGAUGAGCACUAUCUGCAGAGAGCAGCCACGAAUCUGCCCAAACUGCACUCAGGACAGGAAACUAUUGAUGACCUUCAUGUAGGCGGUGAGACAAGAAAAACCUAAUUAUGGCUCAGAAUAUCUCAAAAAUGUUACAGAUGGGUGGAGGGCAGUGGAUAUGGUGUGAACUACGCUGGAGCGUGUCAUUGCACAGGAGAACGACUGCAUCUGCUCACAGACGAGAGGCUUGUGAUACCACGGAAAGUAAACGUUAACGUUAGCUCACUUCCUUAGCGUAAUUAGCUAGCUGCACAUCCAAACGUAGACGCGUUUCCUUCUGUGCGGUUACAUCGUUUAGUUAAGUAGAAAGGAAAUUGUCCGUACAUGAAGCGGCUCACAACAAGGCCUGUGGAUUAAUCGUGAGAAACCAGGUCAUGAAUUUGAGUUUUUCAAAUUUACAUGUUUUUCUGCAUUUUGAGCACCACACACUGGCUGUUAUCUCUUUCCAUUAUUUUCAAGGGAAGAGAGACAUCUCUUUGGCCGAUGUCUGUAAAAUUCUGCAACCCACACAAACACAAUCUAGAUCGGUAACAAGAAUAAACUGUUCCUUUAAUAACAAAUGACAUCUUGGGAAAAUAAGCCACUUGAAAUGCUGAGUGAAAGUGUUAAAGGAGAACGUUUUGCUUCGGAUUUCAAAGGAUUUAACAUCACCGACUGAAUCAAAACAAGAGCCUACUCCAGUUUCACUGCUUGCACAUUCACUUUCAGUUGUUUAUUUUCUAAUGGACCAGAAGUCUGCGUAAACACAGCCCUGUAAAUAUUUGACAAAUAAAGAGUUUCAUAAACGUAACAAAGAUAUCUGAUUUGUGCAGCUGCCGCUUCUAUCGCUGUUUAUUGCUGAUGAUAUUUUCACCUGAAACACUGAUAUCAUCACGUUGUUUGUCCUCCAGGAAGUUCCUGCGACUGCUUGUUAAUUGUUGCUGAGGGGCCAAAGUUUGACAAAAACAACAAGCUGAACGACCAGUUUUGAGUUUGAGCGACUCAAAGAAGGGAAAACAAGGACCGACAGAACAUAAACCAGCAUUACUUCAUCGUGGCGUCGGAUUGCAAGCGAGUCUUCGCUUUCCUAAUCAGCUCUUCUGCUCUCGCGUCCAGGCGAGGUCAUCCUUCCCUCAGCCGGCGCAGCGCUCAUCCAUUUCCUUCCAACACCUCGAGAUCUGAUUUCCAUCACUGACUCAUAACAUGUCCCACUGCAGACUCUUUUCCAAACGAUGCUACCAGCCGUCUUCACCCCGGUUUGGUUAUUAUCUUAACAAUGAGCUGUAGUAACAUCUCAGACACUAACCCUAACCCCAAGAUGCACUGCAGCUUUUUUAUUAUUAUUAAUUAAUUACAUUUAUUUGAAAAAGGAAGGUGUAAAUUAGUUAUAAUAUAUAUAAUAUAACUAACACAAUAUGUACACGAUAGUUAAAAACAUCCUACAUGGUGGUAAAAAGCAGACACACUAUGAUCUACUAGCAGAUGAUUGAGGUAUGAUUUGAUCACAGUGAGUAAAAGCAUCAGAUAAUCAGAUGGUACGUUUCAUAUUUACUGUCAUGUUGAAGGGUUUUUAGUCCUUGCAGCACGCAACCUGUUGGAUCGAGGGCCUCGGUCUUAUAUCUGUCCCGGACAGAGUUCAACCUCGAGGCUCUGACACAGAAAAUACAGGGCAGGGAAGUAAACAUUUUCCUAAAUGAGUAAACAUUUGGCAGCCAAAGUCGAAUAAGUCUGGAGAUAUGUCGAUUUUGGGCCAUAUUUUUAGAGCCUUUGUGAAAUGUUUUAAAAUGAAACAGGAAGUUGGGAAGUUUAUGCCCCUGGCGCCCACCCUGCUUCCCCCUGUGAGCCAAGAGAGACGUGAGGAUGGAGAUUAAACAGCGUGUCAACAGUUUGGCUUCUGCCAAAGGGCGGGUAGUAUAGCUCCAACAUUGUUUAAUGACACAGAUAUUCAAAAUCACUGGCGUUCAUCUUAAAGGGGCCAAUUCCACACAUGGAGAUCAGCUUACUUGUCAUGAGGAGUCACCGUGUGGGACAGUUGUUUAAUGUUUCCUGUGGCCCUGGAGAAUCGUUGAUUUUAGAGCUAAAUACUUGUAUGUACACACUGAACUGAAGUAAAACCAUUUAUUCAUAUAAAGAUGUUGGUUGAACUUUUAAGUUUCCUUUUUAAGUUUUCCUUUACAUUUAACUUUUUAUUGUUUAUAAGACAUGUGUUGACAUAUAAAUGAUUUAUGACAAGCUGUCAUUGAGUUUUCAGCAGAAAUAAGGCCAUUUUUUGUGUUAAGUUGUGUUAAGCUGUGUUUCACUUUAUUGUUCAAUAUCUGUUUAUAGGGUCUAUAUCUGGGUGAGGAUUUAUAGUGGUUGACAACUGCAUUAAUAAACACUUUUAUCUGCUUAUAAGUACAUUAUGAUGCAUUAUAAAAAAGUUAUUACAUGCAGAAAUCACUGGUGCGGCCUUUGACACCUGAUGGUUUCAAAAAUAUAGUUUUAAUCA